GUUCACCAAGGCUAGCACAGAUGUCUCGACUCACCAUCGGUAUCCCACUCGACAUUGCUCCCAUUGUCUCUAUUCGAAGAUACAUGUAUCUUCAGAUAGUGAUAAUGAGAGCAAGUUCGAGCGGGAUACCGAUGGUGAGACUGAGACAUUUGCACCGGCCUUGAGGAAC
rnacentral:pre_miRNA from 1 species